rnacentral:rRNA from 1 species
AGACCCGAAACCCGGUGAUCUAGCCAUGGGCAGGUUGAAGGUUGGGUAACACUAACUGGAGGACCGAACCGACUAAUGUUGAAAAAUUAGCGGAUGACCUGUGGCUGGGGGUGAAAGGCCAAUCAAACCGGGAGAUAGCUGGUUCUCCCCGAAAGCUAUUUAGGUAGCGCCUCGUGAAUUCAUCUCCGGGGGUAGAGCACUGUUUCGGCUAGGGGGCCAUCCCGGCUUACCAACCCGAUGCAAACUGCGAAUACCGGAGAAUGUUAUCACGGGAGACACACGGCGGGUGCUAACGUCCGUCGUGAAGAGGGAAACAACCCAGACCGCCAGCUAAGGUCCCAAAGUCAUGGUUAAGUGGGAAACGAUGUGGGAAGGCCCAGACAGCCAGGAUGUUGGCUUAGAAGCAGCCAUCAUUUAAAGAAAGCGUAAUAGCUCACUGGUCGAGUCGGCCUGCGCGGAAGAUGUAACGGGGCUAAACCAUGCACCGAAGCUGCGGCAGCGACACUGUGUGUUGUUGGGUAGGGGAGCGUUCUGUAAGCCUGUGAAGGUGUGUCGUGAGGCAUGCUGGAGGUAUCAGAAGUGCGAAUGCUGACAUAAGUAACGAUAAAGCGGGUGAAAAGCCCGCUCGCCGGAAGACCAAGGGUUCCUGUCCAACGUUAAUCGGGGCAGGGUGAGUCGACCCCUAAGGCGAGGCCGAAAGGCGUAGUCGAUGGGAAACGGGUUAAUAUUCCCGUACUUGGUGUUACUGCGAAGGGGGGACGGAGAAGGCUAUGUUGGCCGGGCGACGGUUGUCCCGGUUUAAGCGUGUAGGUGUGUGUUCCAGGUAAAUCCGGUUCACUUUAACACUGAGGCGUGACGACGAGGCACUACGGUGCUGAAGCAACAAAUGCCCUGCUUCCAGGAAAAGCCUCUAAGCAUCAGGUAACAUCAAAUCGUACCCCAAACCGACACAGGUGGUCAGGUAGAGAAUACCAAGGCGCUUGAGAGAACUCGGGUGAAGGAACUAGGCAAAAUGGUGCCGUAACUUCGGGAGAAGGCACGCUGACACGUAGGUGAAGUGAUUUACUCAUGGAGCUGAAGUCAGUCGAAGAUACCAGCUGGCUGCAACUGUUUAUUAAAAACACAGCACUGUGCAAACACGAAAGUGGACGUAUACGGUGUGACGCCUGCCCGGUGCCGGAAGGUUAAUUGAUGGGGUCAGCGCAAGCGAAGCUCCUGAUCGAAGCCCCGGUAAACGGCGGCCGUAACUAUAACGGUCCUAAGGUAGCGAAAUUCCUUGUCGGGUAAGUUCCGACCUGCACGAAUGGCGUAAUGAUGGCCAGGCUGUCUCCACCCGAGACUCAGUGAAAUUGAACUCGCUGUGAAGAUGCAGUGUACCCGCGGCAAGACGGAAAGACCCCGUGAACCUUUACUAUAGCUUGACACUGAACAUUGAGCCUUGAUGUGUAGGAUAGGUGGGAGGCUUUGAAGCGUGGACGCCAGUCUGCGUGGAGCCGACCUUGAAAUACCACCCUUUAAUGUUUGAUGUUCUAAC